GGUGACAGGUGGUGGUCAUGGUUGUCGUCAGCUCGUGUCGUGAGAUGUUGGUUAAGUCCCGCAACGAGCGCAACCCCUAUUGUUAGUUGCCAUCAUUCAGUUGGGCACUCUAGCGAGACUGCCGGUAAUAAACCGGAGGAAGGUGGGGAUGACGUCAAAUCAUCAUGCCCCUUAUGACCUGGGCUACACACGUGCUACAAUGGUUGGUACAACGAGUUGCGAGUCGGUGACGGCGAGCUAAUCUCUUAAAGCCAAUCUCAGUUCGGAUUGUAGGCUGCAACUCGCCUACAUGAAGUCGGAAUCGCUAGUAAUCGCGGAUCAGCACGCCGCGGUGAAUACGUUCCCGGGCCUU
rnacentral:rRNA from 1 species